UGGGGAAUAUUGGACAAUGGGCGAAAGCCUGAUCCAGCCAUGCCGCGUGUGUGAAGAAGGUCUUCGGAUUGUAAAGCACUUUAAGUUGGGAGGAAGGGCAUUAACCUAAUACGUUAGUGUUUUGACGUUACCGACAGAAUAAGCACCGGCUAACUCUGUGCCAGCAGCCGCGGUAAUACAGAGGGUGCAAGCGUUAAUCGGAAUUACUGGGCGUAAAGCGCGCGUAGGUGGUUUGUUAAGUUGGAUGUGAAAUCCCCGGGCUCAACCUGGGAACUGCAUGCAAAACUGACUGACUAGAGUAUGGUAGAGGGUGGUGGAAUUUCCUGUGUAGCGGUGAAAUGCGUAGAUAUAGGAAGGAACACCAGUGGCGAAGGCGACCACCUGGACUAAUACUGACACUGGGGUGCGAAAGCGUGGGGAGCAAACA
rnacentral:rRNA from 1 species